UACGUAGGGUGCAAGCGUUGUCCGGAAUUAUUGGGCGUAAAGAGCUCGUAGGCGGUUCGUCGCGUCGGCUGUGAAAACCUGAGGCUCAACCUCAGGCCUGCAGUCGAUACGGGCGGACUUGAGUACUGCAGGGGAGACUGGAAUUCCUGGUGUAGCGGUGAAAUGCGCAGAUAUCAGGAGGAACACCGGUGGCGAAGGCGGGUCUGG
rnacentral:rRNA from 1 species